rnacentral:sRNA from 1 species
CCUCUUAACUGAGGACUUAUAGGCAUAGCAUACACCAAAAAAACGUUUGUUUCUUCUCUGCAAUGGAAAUUAGAUCAAAUGAUCCAAACGAAACCAUCGAGCAGACGACUGUUGGAUUCUCUCUGAUUUCAAGUUUGAACAUAUUUUCUUUGUCCAGACAAACAAUGAGAUCUUUCAAGAAGAAGCAUUUUUCCACUGGGUGGCUAAUGAUUCUCUGAAAUUUAUAGUAUUUAGGAUGAUCGAUCUUACCAGCUUCCUUAGGUCUUUUUGGUACUGGAAGUUCGAUUAUCUUCUGUUCAAGGAGCUGAUCCAGAAUUCCAGAAACUUCAGAAUCUGAGAAUGGGUACUCCUUUCCUUCAAGUUCUUUUAGAGUCACAUGACCUCUACUUUGGACUUGUCCUCUGUCAGGUCUGAAUUCUGGCUUUGGUUUUGGGUUUGAGCUUGAUCCUUGGAAGGCUAUCUUUGCAGGAGUAGUAGAAAUCGCCAUAACUUCUUUGGACUUACUUGCCUUAGCAUCUUUCCUUAUCUCCUUCUUAGGAUCUUUCUUGUCACGUUGAUCACUUGGUAAGUAACUUCCAUGCCUUGCAAUUUGGAGCUCCAAGUCAUGAGCACGUGUCGCUAAUUCUUCGAAUGAGUGAGGCAUGUUUACUUGGAGAUUAUAGAGUAAUCCCCAAUGCAUGCCUUGUACACACAUGUCGAUGGAAGAUGCUUCGCUUAUUCGCUCUUUGCAAUUAAGCACGAGGUUCCUCCAGCGUUCAAUGUACUCCACAACAGGUUUUUCCUUGCUUUGUUUUGUUCGAGCAAGUUUUGGAAGGCUGACAGUUCGUUGGGUGUUGUAGAAGCGUGUUAGGAACUUUCGCUCAAGCUGAUCCAAAUUGUCAAUUGACCCAGCCGGUAAGUCCGUGUACCAUUCAAAUGCGGAACCUUUGAAGGAGCAUACGAACUGCUUCACCAAGUGUCAUUGUAAGUACCUAUAUUGUUACAAGUCUCAAUAAAAUGGGCAACAUGUUGUUUUGGAUUGCUUUUCCAUCAAAACACUGAAAUUUUGGAGGUUGAUAAGUGAGUGGCAUCUUUAUUUCGUCGAUUCGACGACUGUAGGGCUUGGUAUACACCAGUGAAGAUUGUAAUGAACCACCAUACUGGGCACGAAUGGUGUCUGCAAUCAUAUGUUGAAGUUGUUGGAUGGACAGAGAGCCAAUGGUGAGUUGAGUGGUGUCACGCAACACGUUU